rnacentral:lncRNA from 1 species
ACUUCCAAGAGAGUUUAAAUUAAGCAUGAUGCUUAGGUUAAAAUGCCCUCCUAAAUCAAAUUAGACAUGGUGUCUAGGUUGAUCUUUGAGCCGAUAGUAUGCUAUGUAGAUAUUGGAUAUUUUGUUGGACUAACCCCUGCAGGAAAACUUUUAAUAUCGACCUGGGAAGUCCUGAGAUAAACUCACAUUGGAGACAAAGAGAGAGAGCACAUGAAGUUUAACAAUUUACACAAGGAAGGCAUAGCUCAUAAGAGAUGAUCCAUGGAGGGUGCCACAAACACAAUGCACAACCCCUA